UUCAGAACUGCAGAUAGUACAGCUUUCACAGGAGCAAAGGAUGCCUGAGCACAAGUGGCUGAGUUCCGAGUGACUUUAUGAAGCACUUUCCUACCUCCUUCCUGCUUGCAGACUGGGAUUCUGCACCUGCAUUAGGGACAGUCUGACAAAAGCUUCUGCUGUGCCUCCGGGAACAAGGAACUAGCACGAAUAUCCACUAUAAAAUUGGAUCUUGACAAAAUUACCAACAAAUCCAUAAAAGGUGCUGAAAGCAGUCUGAUGUCUAUCUUCGAUGGCAGUCCCACAAAGCUUGAAGAAAUACAUUAUAUCACCAAAAAGUAUAGUUGUUCCUGAAAAUUAGGACAUGAUUAAGUUAUACAUUACAAAUGAAGGCGAUGAAAAGGAAAAAGAAACAAACUCUCAAUUUUCCUCCCAAUCUACACCUGUUAUGACAACAACAAAAAGACACACAGAAGAUCACUUGGGAAAGGUCAUGUGGAAAGUUUUAGGUAAGAAAAUAUACAAAGAUGUAUUUUCCCAAAAAAAAA